CCCUUAGAUGUUCUGGGCCGCACGCGUGCUACACUGAACGGUUCAAUGGGUAAGGUAGUGCGAAAGCAUGACCUAAUCUCGAAAUCCGUUCGUGCUGGGGAUAGAAGCUUGCAAUUAUCCUUCUUGAACGAGGAAUACCUUGUAAGCGUGAGUCAUCAUCUCACGCUGAAUACGUCCCUGCCCUUUGUACACACCGUCCGUCGCUCCUACCGAUUGAGUGUUCCGGUGAGGCUUUGGGAGAAUGGCCUCAACAUGAGUUUAUCGUGUUUUGCCGUUUGAACUUAGUCAAACCUUAUCACUUAGAGGAAGGAGAAGUCGUAACA
rnacentral:rRNA from 1 species